UAUGAUUUUCUUGUCUUUUGU
ensembl:piRNA 21ur-8241 ncRNA